GGGCCCAUAGCUCAGUUGGUUAGAGCACCUGACUCAUAAUCAGGUGGUCCAAGGUUCGAGUCCUUGUGGGCCCACCA
rnacentral:tRNA from 1 species